CCUACGGGUGGCAGCAGUGAGGAAUAUUGGUCAAUGGGCGGGAGCCUGAACCAGCCAAGUCGCGUGAAGGACGACGGUCCUAUGGAUUGUAAACUUCUUUUGUCGGGGAAUAAAGCCGUCCACGGGUGGGCGUAUGAGUGUACCCUAUGAAUAAGCAUCGGCUAACUCCGUGCCAGCAGCCGCGGUAAUACGGAGGAUGCGAGCGUUAUCCGGAUUUAUUGGGUUUAAAGGGUGCGUAGGCGGACAGUAAAGUCAGCGGUAAAAAUUCGGGGCUCAACGUCGAACAGCCGUUGAAACUGGCAGUCUUGAGUGGGCGAGAAGUAUGCGGAAUGCGUGGUGUAGCGGUGAAAUGCAUAGAUAUCACGAAGAACUCCGAUUGCGAAGGCAGCAUACUGGCGCGCUACUGACGCUGAGGCACGAAAGCGUGGGUAUCGAACAGGAUUAGAUACCCGAGUAGUC
rnacentral:rRNA from 1 species